rnacentral:rRNA from 1 species
GACGAACGCUGGCGGCGUGCUUAACACAUGCAAGUCGAACGGAAAGGCCCCUUUGGUGGUACUCGAGUGGCGAACGGGUGAGUAACACGUGAGUAACCUGCCCUUGACUUCGGGAUAACUUCAGGAAACUGGGGCUAAUACCGGAUAGGAAUCCUUGCUUCAUGGUGGGGGUUGGAAAGCUUCGGCGGUUUUGGAUGGACUCGCGGCUUAUCAGCUUGUUGGUGGGGUAGUGGCUUACCAAGGCUUUGACGGGUAGCCGGCCUGAGAGGGCGACCGGCCACAUUGGGACUGAGAGACGGCCCAGACUCCUACGGGAGGCAGAAGGGGGGAAUAUUGAACAAUGGGCGGAAGCCUGAUGCAGCAACGCCGCGUGCGGGAUGACGGCCUUAGGGUUGUAAACCGCUUUCAGCAGGGGCGAAGCUUGUGGUGACGGUACCUGCAGAAGAAGCACCGGCUAACUACGUG